rnacentral:misc_RNA from 1 species
AACGCACGAGACCUGCGGACCUGCGGAAGGAUCAUUACCGAGUGUUUCUACUCUAAACCCACUGUGAACCUUACCACUGUCGUUGCUUCGGCGGGCGUCCGCGCCCGCCGGCAGCACCCAAACUCUUGAUUUUUAGCAUGCCUCUCUGAGUACUAAAGACAAAACAAUCAAAACUUUCAACAAUGGAUCUCU